rnacentral:rRNA from 1 species
GAUGAACGCUGGCGGCGUGCCUAAUACAUGCAAGUCGAGCGAACGGACGAGAAGCUUGCUUCUCUGAUGUUAGCGGCGGACGGGUGAGUAACACGUGGAUAACCUCCCUAUAAGACUGGGAUAACUUCGGGAAACCGGAGCUAAUACCGGAUGAUAUUUUGAACCGCAUGGUUCAAAAGUGAAAGACGGUGUUGAUGUCACUUAUAGAUGGAUCCGCGCUGCAUUAGCUAGUUGGUAAGGUAACGGCUUACCAAGGCAACGAUGCAUAGCCGACCUGAGAGGGUGAUCGGCCACACUGGAACUGAGACACGGUCCAGACUCCUACGGGAGGCAGCAGUAGGGAAUCUUCCGCAAUGGGCGAAAGCCUGACGGAGCAACGCCGCGUGAGUGAUGAAGGUCUUCGGAUCGUAAAACUCUGUUAUUAGGGAAGAACAUAUGUGUAAGUAACUGUGCACAUCUUGACGGUACCUAAUCAGAAAGCCACGGCUAACUACGUG